GCCCUUAAGAAAAUCACUUUGCGAAUGUCCGAUUUUGUCUGAUCUCUGAAGCGAAGCAGGGUUGGGUUUGGUGAGUACUUGGAUGGAUGCAGUGACUCUAGUGCAGGGGUGGGCAAACUACGGCCCGGGGGCU
rnacentral:rRNA from 1 species